CUUCCUGGCUUGCUGGGGCCUGCCGAGUUCAGGCUUCAGGGAGGCCCAUAGGGAGUCCUCUCUGGAAGUCCUGCCCACCCGCCAAUCAGCUGAGAGGCGGGGAGAGAAGAGCUCUGCAGUUUGUAGGCUGCUCCGAUCCUAGGCCUCGUUGCCGAUCCUAGGCCGGAGCUGGAGGCAAGUGGCUGAGGAGCCCUGGGGCUGGGCAGGUGGGCAGUGGGGUUGGGGUGGGGGUGGCAUGGCGCCCCCACCUCAGUGGCACGUAGGGCACGUGCCCUGCCUGCCUCCCCCCCCAGUUCCGCCUAUGCCCCUGGGCCUUUGCAUUGAGCACCCACCUCUUCAAUAAAGGUAAAAGGAUGAAAUGGUUGAGCCUGGUGGCUGUUUGUGCCAAGCAAAGUCCCAUGAAGUUUGACUCCUUUGAGAUUUGGUUGAAGAGGACUCCAUCAGUCUCAAGCACAAGAAACCUGUUACAUAGAUUGAUCUGAGGAGGAGCUGAAGAGCAGGUUUAGGUAAGGAAGGCAAGACAUCCAUCCCAUCCACCUGCCUCAUCCUGUCAGCAGAACUCGAAGUGGAUGAAGUUGUGGGGAUUUGAGGAGAACAAGGACCUCUAUAUCAAGAGGCCUUGGAGGUGGGAUCCCAGAGAGCAAAAACUCUAUUUAAAAGCACUUUUGGAAAACUCUGCUACAUCAUCUGCCUAGCAAAUGUAGAGUUUGUCAGUCAACA